CAGCCGCCGCGGUAAUACCGGCGGCCCGAGUGGCGGCCACUAUUAUUGGGCUUAAAGCGUCCGUAGCCGGGUUGGUUAGUCUCCCGGGAAAUCUGGCCGCUUAACGGUCAGAAUUCCGGGAGAUACUGCCAGCCUAGGGACCGGGAGAGGCCGAGGGUAUUCCCGGAGUAGGGGUGAAAUCCUAUAAUCCCGGGAGGACCACCUGUGGCGAAGGCGCUCGGCUGGAACGGGUCCGACGGUGAGGGACGAAGGCCAGGGGAGCAAACCGGAUUAGAUACCCGGGUAGUCCUGGCUGUAAACGAUGCGGACUUUGUGUCGGACAAGCUAUGAGCUUGUCCGGUGCCGGAGGGAAACCGUUAAGUCCGCCGCCUGGGGAGUACGGCCGCAAGGCUGAAAUUUAAAGGAAUUGGCGGG
rnacentral:rRNA from 1 species